rnacentral:rRNA from 1 species
CCUACGGGAGGCAGCAGUAGGGAAUCUUAGACAAUGGGGGCAACCCUGAUCUAGCCAUGCCGCGUGUGUGAUGAAGGCCCUAGGGUCGUAAAGCACUUUCGCCAGAGAUGAUAAUGACAGUAUCUGGUAAAGAAACCCCGGCUAACUCCGUGCCAGCAGCCGCGGUAAUACGGAGGGGGUUAGCGUUGUUCGGAAUUACUGGGCGUAAAGCGCACGUAGGCGGAUUAGUAAGUUAGAGGUGAAAUCCCAGGGCUCAACCCUGGAACUGCCUUUAAUACUGCUAGUCUUGAGUUCGAGAGAGGUAAGUGGAAUUCCGAGUGUAGAGGUGAAAUUCGUAGAUAUUCGGAGGAACACCAGUGGCGAAGGCGGCUUACUGGCUCGAUACUGACGCUGAGGUGCGAAAGUGUGGGGAGCAAACAGGAUUAGAUACCCUGGUAGUCCACACCGUAAACGAUGAAUGCCAGACGUCAGCAAGUAUACUUGUUGGUGUCACACCUAACGGAUUAAGCAUUCCGCCUGGGGAGUACGGUCGCAAGAUUAAAACUCAAAUGAAUUGACGG